rnacentral:rRNA from 1 species
UGAACGCUAGCGGCAGGCUUAAUACAUGCAAGUCGUGGGGCAGCAUGAGUAGCAAUACUUGAUGGCGACCGGCAAACGGGUGAGGAACACGUGCACAACCUUCCUUCAAGCGGGGAAUAGCCCAGAGAAAUUUGGAUUAAUACCCCAUAAUAUAUUUGAUAAGGCAUCUUAUUAAUAUUAAAGCUUCGGCACUUGAUGAUGGGUGUGCGGCUGAUUAGAUAGUUGGCGGGGUAACGGCCCACCAAGUCUACGAUCAGUAGCUGAUGUGAGAGCAUGAUCAGCCACACGGGCACUGAGACACGGGCCCGACUCCUACGGGAGGCAGCAGUAAGGAAUAUUGGACAAUGGACGAAAGUCUGAUCCAGCCAUGCCGCGUGAAGGAUUAAGGUCCUCUGGAUUGUAAACUUCUUUAUAUGGGACGAAAAAAGGGCAUUCUUGUUCACUUGACGGUACCAUAUGAAUAAGCACCGGCUAACUCCGUG